GGCCCUACGGGGCGCAGCAGGCGCGAAAACUUUACCAUGCGGGCAACCGUGAUAAGGAAACCCCGAGUGCCAGCACAGGCUGGCUGUCCACCAGUGUAAAUAACUGGUGAAGAAAGGGCCGGGCAAGACCGGUGCCAGCCGCCGCGGUAAUACCGGCGGCUCGAGUGGUGGCCACUAUUACUGGGCUUAAAGGGUCCGUAGCUUGAUAUGCAAGUCUUUUGAGAAAUCCGCCGGCUUAACUGGUGGGCGUUCAGGGGAAACUGCAUUUCUAGGGACCGGGAGAGGUGAGAGGUACUGCCGGGGUAGGAGUGAAAUCCUGUAAUCCCGGUGGGACCACCUAUGGCGAAGGCAUCUCACCAGAACGGGUCCGACAGUGAGGGACGAAAGCUGGGGGAGCAAACCGGAUUAGAUACCCGGGUAGUCCCAGCUGUAAACGAUGCGCGUUAGGUGUGUCAGUGACCACGUGUCACUGAGGUGCCGAAGGGAAACCGUGAAACGCGCCGCCUGGGGAGUACGGUCGCAAGGCUGAAACUUAAAGGAAUUGGCGGGGGAGCACCACAACAGGUGGAGCCUGCGGUUUAAUCGGACUCAACGCCGGGAAUCUCACCG
rnacentral:rRNA from 1 species